rnacentral:rRNA from 1 species
GUGGGGAAUCUUCCGCAAUGGACGAAAGUCUGACGGAGCGACGCCGCGUGAGUGAAGAAGGCCUUCGGGUCGUAAAGCUCUGUCAUCAGGGACGAACGGCCGGUGGAGUGGAAAGCCACCGGAUUGACGGUACCUGAGAAGGAAGCCACGGCUAACUACGUGCCAGCAGCCGCGGUAAUACGUAGGUGGCAAGCGUUGUCCGGAAUUAUUGGGCGUAAAUCGCGCGCAGGUGGGAUCUUAAGUCCAUUUUUAAAGUUCGGAGCUCAACUCCGUGAUGGGAUGGAAACUGGGAUUCUUGAGUACCGGAGAGGAAAGCGGAAUUCCCCGUGUAGCGGUGAAAUGCGUAGAUAUGGGGAGGAACACCAGUGGCGAAGGCGGCUUUCUGGACGGUGCCUGACACUGAGGCGCGAAAGCUAGGGGAGCGAACGGGAUUAGAAACCCCAGUAGUCC